rnacentral:lncRNA from 1 species
GUUUUUUUUUUGUAAUCUCUUUCUUUUAUUUAUUUUCCCUUUCUGUUUUAUUUAGUUCUAGGGCAUUUAGGCAUUUUAUAAAAUUGUGUUUGCUUCACCAUAAUUACCAGUGCAAUAUUUGGCAACCCCCGAACAUUUUCGCUUUGCCAUUUGAAAACUUAGGGUGUUUGUCACUAAUUCAUAUUUUGAAUUUGCAAUGAUUUUGAACUACCACUUGAUUAGCAACAGUAACACGAAUGACAUGGCAUCAUUAGAAGAGUUUUACUGUAGCCUAAUUAUCCGGGCGUUACAAUGGAGCCAGGCGGGGAUGAGACAAGGAGCAAAUGCCGGUGUUGGUGACGCCUCACAACGCCGACCGCGCCGAGGUAAUACCUCUUGCCAUUCACCACUCGUCUCCUCCUCGUGCCCAACACAUGGAACAGUCAGGUGAGCGGCCGGGACCGGGCUUUUGGAAGCCGGCGGCGUCAUCGGAGCCAACUCUUCUUCGUCAUCCUUAUUGUCCUCAUUGGAAAGGGAGGCCCAGGACACAAGCCGACCCGAGUUCAAACCAACGGUCGUCAUCAUUGAAGAACUGGACGCAUGCCGGAGAGGCGAGGCGAACUCCAGAUGGAGUCGGGACGCUGCAGGGGACGAGUUGGAGUGAGGCUCUGCCGGGGCCGGUGCCGGGGGUGGGCCCGAACGGGGUGCUACCGGUGAAGUCGGUGGUUGGCUGGAGGCGGCAGCAGCAAGUGGAGCCGGAGCGAAGGGCGCGGUUGAAGUCGUGGACGUCGUCGCCUCCUUGGUGAGGUGCGCGCGGGUCACCAUCCUCCCAUGAAUGGCUGGGUCGGAGCGGUGGGAAGCAAGGGCGGCCGCGGCAAGGGCGGCGGGGGGUGCUGGAGCAGAGGGCAGCCAGGAGCAGGCGCACGACACGGCAGGAGAGGCUGCCGCCAGCGCGACCGACAUGGAUGUGGGCCGAGGUUGAGGAUGAGCAGCCACGGCGUCGACCCGCGAAGAAAAGCACGCGAACGGAGAGAGGAGGUGGAGAGGAUCCCAGUUCUGGACAGAGCAGAUGUAGGGAAGGCUGGUGGUAGGAGAUAAGGGCUGCGGAACCGCCGCCGCAAGCGCAUUCACGAGAGCGAGGUCGCUCGGGUUGGGUAUUACGUUUAGUUAGAAAAUAUGAGAUAGACUUGGAUAUGUUCCGGCUUUUCUUGUACUCUAAAUUGACCAUGUACUCAUACAUAUACAUACAUAUAUAUAUAUAUAUAUAUAUAUAUAUAUAUAUAUAUAUAUAUAUAUAUAUAUAUAUAUACUAGUAAAAGGCACGUACCAAGUACGUGUAUAAUCUAAUAAAAGAAUUAGUAAGCAUUGAAUUAUUAUUUGUCUUACUCCCUAAUAAUUUCUAGAAAAUGAACUUGAAUUAACGUCAUCAUUAUGGCCAUGGGGAUACACAAAUUGGCGAUGCAUCCAACUUUUCACAAAAUUAUCAAGAAAGACCUGUUUGCCGGCUCGUAAAUAGUUCAAACCCCAAGAACAUGUGUUUGUGUUGAUCAUCAUCUAACAAGAAAAAGACUCCUUGGUCUAUUUUGUUUACCCCAUAUGAUUCCUUUCUUAUGACUAAACUUGACACAAUUGGUAAUUGCAAUAAGAAGAUCAAGGAAUCGCUGCCCAAAUUAUAACUUUUUACAUGAUCGCUGCCCACUUUUGGAGGCCAAAUAAAAGACUGCCAUUCUGGAUAAAUAACAAUGGGCAGCUAUUAUCUUUUACUACUCUUCUCCUGUAAAAAGAAAUGCUACUCUCCAGAACAGAUAUGUAAUAUCUUAUACUCCCUCCGUUCUCAAAUACUUGUCUUUCUAGGCAUUUCAAAUAAACUCAACAUACGAAUGUAUGUAGACAUAUUUUAAAGUGUAGAUUCACUCAUUUUGCGCCGUAUGUAGUCACUUGUUGAAAUCUCUAGAAAGACAAGUAUUUAGGAACGGAGGGAGUACAUCUCAGUAUCUCACAUUCUUCAUGCUCAGAUGUCCCGAAACUACUAAACCACAUGAGAUAAGGCUUCAGUGUGUUUUACUGCCUUUCUCGCAGUAGGUUUCCAUGUUUCCUGUGACCAAUGGUGAAAGAUUGGAGGGAAAAACUGUCAUCUUCCAUUUUUUUUAGAAAAGGAGGAUUACCCCCGGCCUCUGCAUCUGAGCGAUGCAUGCAGCCAUUUUAUUAAUUAUUCUCAGAGACCUUACAAAUCAUUACAUCAGUAAGCCUGAAGCCACCAUCUUCGCGACACCUGUCGCUACUCCUAUUCCCUUGAUGUAGGCGUGCCGAAUGUCCGAGCCUAAUACCAAACAGACAUCGCACAAAAACCUAACAUCUAAUGCCGGUUGCCCCAUCCCAGCCACUUACCGGGAAUGGGUCAUACACCGGUCCGGCGCACUCACCGAGGCUACCACAGCCGUCAUCCACCUAACCAUCUUCAGAGCAGGUACCGACGCAAAGACCUUGCUAGGUCAGCUGUCGACGCCACCAUGACGCCAGACAGCGCCGCCGCCCUGCGCUCGUCCACCUAGCCGCAUCUGUCGUCGAUAUCCAGCUGCACCAUGCCGCCAAUACUCGUCGUCAUCGACGCGGUAGAAACAACGCCGCACCUCCUGGCAAUCUCCACACCAUCGCCACUGCUGGAGCUACCGGAGUCCAUCACCCACAGCAUCUCUCCGCCGAACAUCAGAACCUCCCAAGACGGCGCCUCCAUGGAGGGUACAGCCAUUAGAAGUAAAUGCCAUCAUACAGUGUUACUUCCAUGUAAUCAGGGGUGGCAUGAAUUUUGUUUUUCUGCUUGAUCUAAAUCAAAGUCUUCAUUCAUUUUAUAACUGGAAACAUAUUGCCCCUCAUUGGUCAGAUGAGUAUAUACUAAAAUUACCAAUAGAAACACUGUAUUUUUAGCAUAGCGAUCAAGAGAAAAAUAUUGGCUAAGGGCAGAUUAUGACGUUCGGUUAUUACUCAUCAAGUUUUUCAAUAUUCAGUAUAGAUAAAUUGAACGAUUGAAUCAUGUAUGCUACAUUUUGAAACACACAAUAUUUUAAGUAGGUGAUUGUGAGAUAAAAUCCCACUGCUUUUCUUUCUUGGCAUAGGACUGUUACCAUCAUACAAAAUGCAACCAAGGUAUAGAGUUGGAUUCUUCUUUUAUUAAUGGCACAUCAUAAAUAACUUGUCAUUGAGGAUAAUUCUACUGGCAUGCAUGUUUUGUUAUUGGCGUCUGUACUGGUGCCUUGCAUCAUUGCUGGUACUUGCACUAUCAUCUGGUGGUCCAGAUUAAUCACAGAAAAUUCAAUAAUUUUUCUGGUCUGCCUCAAAGAACCGCAACAUAUGUUGGUUUGACAAAAACACAAACAGCUGGCGUGCAGGAAUACCAAACAUUACCAAUGACCAUAACCAGCGCCAAUUUUUCAAAACUGAGGAUUAAUGUGAUGAUACCUGAUAGAUAUUAGUAAAGAAUCACCCGUGGAGUAUCCGGAUGCAGAUAAAGAGAAGCAAAACCAGUACAGGGAAUGACUCACUUGGACAAGCUAAGCUACUCUAUGACAGAGGAAGCUCCGAAGUCAUCGCGACGCCGCGUACGCCGGACAUACAAAAGGAGGGACAUGGCAUAGAAAUGCAGGGCGGAGGUGCGUUGAAGCUUGGGAUGCGGAAGGGCGCACACAGGUUUUGCGGCGGCCGGCGAGACGGCGGCCGACAUCUGGGUGCGAGGCGGCUAGUUCAGAAGUGGAUUUCGGGAGCAAGAAUAUAGAAGAUUGUUGUGUGAAGAGAGGCCGGAGGCGGGGGUGAGUCAGUUGCUGCAUGCUGGGAGCGGAGGGGCCGAGGGGGACGCCGGCCUGAGCAGAGAAAGGGAUGGCGCGUACGGCGGUACGGGAAGAGUUCAGUCCGGAAGAAUCGAGAAGAGCGGACCUGACAGAGAAAUAAGCAUCCUGAACCGUUAGAUGUAUCCAAAUCGACGGCCAACUUUCUUUGGAUUCGCUCCUGCCUANNNNNNNNNNNNNNNNNNNNNNNNNNNNNNNNNNNNNNNNNNNNNNNNNNNNNNNNNNNNNNNNNNNNNNNNNNNNNNNNNNNNNNNNNNNNNNNNNNNNNNNNNNNNNNNNNNNNNNNNNNNNNNNNNNNNNNNNNNNNNNNNNNNNNNNNNNNNNNNNNNNNNNNNNNNNNNNNNNNNNNNNNNNNNNNNNNNNNNNNNNNNNNNNNNNNNNNNNNNNNNNNNNNNNNNNNNNNNNNNNNNNNNNNNNNNNNNNNNNNNNNNNNNNNNNNNNNNNNNNNNNNNNNNNNNNNNNNNNNNNNNNNNNNNNNNNNNNNNNNNNNNNNNNNNNNNNNNNNNNNNNNNNNNNNNNNNNNNNNNNNNNNNNNNNNNNNNNNNNNNNNNNNNNNNNNNNNNNNNACUCCCAAAAGUACAUACUCCCACUCCCUAACGGGUCUUUGGGUUGGAUAUCCAGUAGCUAACAAACCAACCGAUAAGAAAAGGAAGCGAUGCAUGCAAUAGUCGCAGUGUGCAUGCAUGGGCUUGAUCCUAUAAUUAAGCAACGAUUUUUGUGGAACAGGAAGUUUGUUUAGGUUGCAGGCCACAUGCUCCACGUAGUAUAUAGAAGUACAUGUCCUCCACUUGAAGGUACGUAGCUAGCUAUUGUAUACAUGUGGUAUAUAUAUAUAGCAUUUUAUUAUAUUGCUGUUGUAAUAUUUUUUGGAAGUCAUAUACUCACUCCGUUUCAAAAUAAGUGUCUCACUUUAUAUUAGCUCUAGUAUAAAUUUGUACUAUGCUCAAGACACUUAUUUUGGGACAGAGGGAGUAAUAUAAGUUUAACAAAUUGUGUCAUUCUGAUUUUAUGAUUUAGUAUAUACUCCUCUUUGGAACGAAGUAUAUACCACAUAUUUACCACAGACCACUUCUGGCCCUUCGAGAGUAUAUACCACUUCUUUUCAUAUGGUGUAUAUACUAUAUAUUUUGAAAUGAAGUACAUACCAUUUUUUGUGAUGGAGUAUACCUUUUUUUACACUGCUUAGAGUAGCGGGCGCUUUGUUUACUGCUCUUCUUAGUAAUGUAAUGCUACCAUCAAAAGUAGUGCAUAUAAGGUACUAAUUUCAGGUACAUAGAUUGUACCUACUCUUCUCUGUAUAAAUUCACGGCAAGUAACAUACUGUUGAAAUCAAAAAGAUAGUUUUUUAAUGUGUGAGUAUAUAUACUAUUUUUCUGGUUCAGUAUAUACUACAUUUUUUUACGAAAUAUGCAUUUUUGUGAGUCGGUAAAUAUUACUUUUGUUAGUCAGUAUAUACUUCAUUUUUACUUUUAGUGCAUACCAAAAUAGUUGUGUCGAGUUAUAGCUGAUGGGUAUAUACUACUACAAAAGGAGUAUAUAGUUUCUUAAGGAAAUAUAUGAAUUAAAAGGAGUCUAAUCCACGAAAAAGUGUACAAUUCAAUUCCAAGCAUCUAGAUCUGGUGUCCAUAGUAUGUGGCUCAUAGACAGAAAAUAAAGAAACACUGUCGAAGCAACACGAUUGUGGUCGUCGACGUCCAUGAGAGAAGUUGCAGUAAUCCAUGCGACGGGAGGCGUCAUCGCCACCAGUAUGCCACGUCAACUCGGAAGACGUACGCUGGUUGGCCGGCCGGUGUUCGAUGCAUCUAUCAAAACCGAGGUAGAUCAAAUCAGCCGCAACAGAUGAUGUCUUGUAUAAUGAGAUUAGAAUUCUAGCUCAAGUAUGUAACAUGUCAAGUUCAGAGGUAACACAGAAGUGGAAUCCCAAUAAAAAAUAAAAAAAAUCCAAGUGCAAAGGAUGCACGUACGUGCAUCAGAUGUGGUAAUGUGGAUGUAUGUGCAUCCACAUGCAUCCGUCCAUCAGAAGAAAGCAAAAUACAUGAGCGCUUCUUAUAGAGAUACGGUGAUCAUAUCCUGGUAUAUGCAAUAUAAAAUUGAUGGAAACCUCACCCGCAAAAAAAUAAAAAAUUGAUGGAAACCUUACCAUGUACUUAGCCAGCGCCAAUUCACCAUGGAUCGCUUGCCACCGAUUGAGAUGUCAGAGGAAACAACCGGCUCGCUUCCGCUGGAUGAAAUCAACGAUCAGCUCACUUACCAAUACGAUAAAAUCCUUUGCGCAUUUAUAGCAGAUGAGUCGCAUGCUGCCCCGCUUGUGAAUCAAAUCACCAGAAGAUCAUAAACGUGUGUGAAGCUGCCGGAGAGCCCAUGCCUGGGUGAGCGCCCACGUCGGGCGAGUCAGCCUAACUAGGUAUUAAUGGCAACUAAAUUCCCUACUAACACGGAAGUUGUUUCCAGAUCCAUGCAGAGGGGUUAGAUGGAAUAGUAAUACUUUAAUUAAAUUAAAUUAUUAAAUAAUAGCUAGAUGCUUAGAUGGACACGGAAUGAUUGCUGGCCAGUACGUGUGUGUGUGUGUGGAGUUCGAAGGUGAGAGUAUGUACUCCUAAGAGUAUCAACCCAUUUUCAUAUAUAUAUAUAUAUAUAUAUAUAUAUAUAUAUAUAUAUAUAUAUAUAUAUAUAUAUAUAUAUAUCUUUUCUUUAUCUCUAAUAAUAAAGAGAAUUGGGUUUCUGUUGUACGUCAUCGAGCGUGAUUUUGCAUAAAAGUCCCUCGGUUUACAUGAAAUUAACCCGCAGUCUCUGUUUAAGUGAGUCUGGGAAAAAAGGAUUCAUUUUUAGAAGCAAGACCCUACGUUUGUAAGAAUUUAACCUGUGAUGCUUUUUAAAGUGGCUAAUUGCAAAUAAUCAAGCGACGACGCGGCCCACCGCGGUUGCGGCAGCGGUGUAGGCGAGCGACGCAGAGGAGCGGUCAACACCGGCGUCGAGGGCAAGGUAGGCCGGGCGCAGUGUCCUCCGGCGUGUGGUGGCGCAUUGGACGGCGCAGGAGGCUGGGCGCGUCGAUUCGGGUGAGGGAAGUGGGGUCCAGAUCUGGUCGAGGACGGGGCAACCGGCGGCGGCGGCGUGGCUGACGCUGGACGGAGAGAGAGGCAGAGCAAGGCACGCCGAAUCGCUGGAUGGCGCACCUCCCCUAGCCUCCUUCCUCUCCCGGUCGUAGGGGAAGCAGGACGGCCACCUCUGCUGGACGCCCUUCCCUGGUCGACGACGAGCGUUGCGGGCUGACACGGUGGCGCCCUUCCGUUGUGGAGUACCGUACUAGGACGACGGCGGUUAAGGUCAACGCCCUGCUCGACGCCCCAUCUGCUGCUCGAUGCGCCCAUCCCCUCGCUGGUUGAGCUCAACGCCACCUUGCUCUGCCUCCGGCAGUCAUCUCAUCCAAUCUGGCUGGUCCGCUCCCCACCUCGGCGGCUCCUUCAGUCCGGCAGCACACCACGCUCAAGCCUCCACCACCCUCAAGGUAUAAGAUUUGCUUUUUGUUUAUACAGAGGAUGCAAGAUUCUACUGCUGCCGUGUAAUAAGUAGCACUUGCAGUUACAGUAGACAAGGAGCUCCGCUCUACCUCUCAUCUCUCUCCUUGUCCUGGUGGUCACGGGCUGAUGUUGCUGCUCCUCUCCUUCAGGAUCUAUCUCUUUCUCUUUGUCUCUCACCCUCUCAUGGAUUGACAACUGCAUUCUUCCCAAAUUAAUGUGUGCCUCUGUUCUUGAUAUUACGCCCACACCAUGUUUGAUGUUAUGCUUAUGAGGAGUUGAACUUCAUUUUUUUUCAGGCUUUUCUUUGGUGUAUCAGGCAUUCAGGCUGGUGUAAUUUGUUUUCAAAAGUGAACAUGUUGUACAGUCCAAUGUAUCUACAAAAAUUAAGUUAUGGUGAGUUGUUCAUCAUGUUGCUUGCAUAUUUUUUGUCUAACAAGCUGGAUACUUCAGUUUUGAAUAUAAACAUUGAGUAGGUGCUCAAAUAUUUUGCUAAUGAUAGUUUCCAACUUGCUUUUUAGCAGAACUACAGAACUAUUAGCAGCUUUUAAUUAUGUGUACUUAAAAUGGAUUUGGUGUCCAGGACAUGUGGAGUUGAGAUCAGGUUGAAUUAUGUGCUGAUGUUCUUCGAUAGUAUAAUUGUUCUUCUCCUUUAACAUGAUGCACCAUUGAUUUAUUUUUUUAGAUGCUCAAAUACACAGAGUAAUGACAUCCUGUAUGCGCUUGGACACCCAGCAGAUUGAAAAUAUAGAAGCAAAGAUAUCCAAUACGAGGCCACGAUGCCCGACAGAGAUGCAGCCAAUACGUGCCCAAUCUUUAUUUCUUGAUGUUGGAACAACAAAUAAGAGCAUGUUCAUGUUUACUUAUUAUGUUUUUUUUCGAGAAAUUUUGGGGAUUUACAAGCUGAAAUUAUUGACUGUCUAAAAAAAAUGUUUUAACCAAAACUAUUUGAACAAUGUGCCCUGGUUCUGCAUUCAUGGAACUGUAAAAAUAUUGAACAAGUUCAGUCGGAGUUUUGUUCCUGUUAAUAUUCCAUUCUUAGUGUCAGUUUCUUUCCACUUGCUCAUCUUUUAAUGUUGAACUAUACAUGUACUUAUUAUUAAAGUUUUGUUGUCUUCCUAAACUAAUUAGAUUUUUUAAGCACUACUGAACUAAUUGGAUGCCAUCUUAAAUUACCUUCCCUUUGACAUUAUUGUACAGAUUCCUGAAACACUGUCCAGAAUUCCACUGCUACAGAAUUGAAAUUCGAUUAGCACAUGGUAAACCAGCUUUGAUUCAGCAGGGUUAUCAGCUUAGAUUCGACUAUUUUUAGUUCCUACAAAAGCAAAUGAUACGCUUAUGUCAGUAGUUUUUAGAUAUAUUCACUGGCUUCAGAUUCUGCUGAUGGAUUUUUAUGCUCUGUUCUGCUUCUAGAGCUUGUGAAUGAUGUUCAUUGUUGUUUGAAAGAUGCACUUUUUUAUGCCUAUAUGUAAACGAUGCAAUUACUGGCUGAGAGAUACACUUAUUGGUGCUGUUCUGAAAUGAUGUUCAUUACUGUUCUACAGAUGCAGUAGACUGAUGUUUAUUGUUGUUUUGUUAUUGUACAGAACGAGGACGGAUCCAAGGUUGAGUACUAGGUGUGGAACCCCUUCAGAUCCAAGUUGGCUGCUGUUGUACUCUGUUGUGGACAACAUCUGGAUUGUAUGUCUUUUUUGAUGAUUCCUUCCGGCGCCCUGUCAUACUCAUUGCUCUUCAGUUAACGAAAUGAAUGCACAGCAGCAACACAGGCAGUAGUAGAAUGGGGUAUAAUGAAUGUUUUGUUUGAGUCUGACUGUCAAACGCUGGUUCGUGUUUCUAGAUUUUCUAGUUAAGGGCUGGUUUUGUUUAGCUGGAACACAAAUCACGAUCAGAUGUACCUAUUAUGACGAUUUCGGAUCCGUGCUAACUAUUUCUAAUUUUGAAAUUAUUCCUCAGAACACAUGAUUACAUUACAUUACACACUGAAAAAUGGUGCAAAGUGGAAGUUGGUACUAAAGCGGAUAGCUCUUUUUGAUCUGCACAGAAAUUUCAGUAAUAAUAUGUGCCACUCAUUUUGUUACCAAAAGCUGGGAUGAUUUUUACAUUUUGUUUCCUGGUCCCCUUUCCAUUUUGACAAAUUUAUUAUCCCGAAGUUUAUGCAUAAUGAUGAAAUAUUCUGUGGUAGUAUGUCGAAUGCAGUUUAGUAUAUUCCCGUUGGUUCUGUAGUGAUUUUUAGCUCCGACCAUUUUCUCUCUAAUUUUAUUUUAAGGUCUACUCUUUUAAAAGUUUUUAUUAUGUUUUUCUUGAAAAUAAAAGAUUGAUACAAAAAUGGCACCUACUAUCAUUACAGGUCCGAGGAAUUACAGCUUGGGGACUCGGGAGGCGAUCGUAAAAGCGGUGUGCUACAGUGUAAUGCACUAGCAAUAUGUGAAGAUUUUUUUUACGGAGGGGGUUAAUAAACAAUCAGAAAAUUCUUUGCCCCCUCAGAAAACUAUUUUCCGUGUUUGGCCCCUCUGGGCAUUGAUGUGAAGCUCUACAGUCGUGUAAUAUGACCAAACUCAUCACCUCGGGGUUGAUCACAUUCGUCGUGAAUAGGUGGAUAACAUGACCAUCAUCGACAAUGGUGGCAAGGCAAGAGAAGUGGAAUCAUAGACUAGGACGAGCGAGGAUUUGUUUAACCCGUUGCAACGCACGGGCCCUUUUGCUAUACAUACAUACAUACAUACAUACAUACAUACAUACAUACAUACAUAUAUAUAUAUAUAUAUAUAUUUAUCUUUAUCUUUAUCUUUAUCUUUACCUACUAAUAAACCACCGAUCGCUUCUGGUCGUACGUCGUGGGUAAUUUUGCAAAAAAGUCCCUGUGCUUUUUUGUAUUCAACCCGCAGUCCAAAGCGAACCGGUAUGAAGGGACAAAAACACAGCCAGGCUCUGCCUCGGGCCGCUUCCUGCCCCGCCCCGCGCCGCCGGCCGCUUCCUGCCCCGCCCCGCCCGCGCCUCCGGCUACCUCUUGCCCGGCCCCGCCCGCGCCGCCGGCCACCUCCUGCCCCGCCCCAUCUCCUCCUCAUCCGCGCCCGCAGCAGACGAGGCCGGGGACAGUCGAGGGCAGCCGGGUCCGAACGGACUCCGGUCCGAUGGAGGUAGAUCCGGCAGCGGCGCGUCCAAUCGGGCGACGGGGAGGAGUCGACGAGGCCGGGGACGGUCGAGGGCAGCCGGAUCCGGUCCGAUGGAGACGGAUCCGGCGGCGGCGCGUCAAAUCCGGCGAUGUGAGGAGUAGACGAGGUCGUGAAGGGAUGGAGCUCGCCGAUCGCAUACGGACGCAGAGGCGGCCAUGGGCCGCAGCGACCGGGCGCACGAGGUGAAGGCGUCACAGCAGCAGCUGUUGGAGGAGGCAGCAAGGGGCCCGACGGCGGACGGAGGAAGGGAGGCCGAAGUAGGCAGCAACCAUGGCGCGAUGGCCAUCCGGCGAGCAGAGGACAGGCGCAGUAAAGGGACGGAAUUACUCGUGGCCAGGGUGGGUGGUGGUGGUGCACCAGAGAACGAGCGCAGCAGUGCGCGACCCGUGCGAGAGGAGGGCGACAGAGCAAGCUCGAGGGCCACGGCGGGAUCGGGAAGGGGCGGAGCUCGGGCAUAGCAGGACUGCAGGAGGUCGGAGGAGAAGGUCCGGCGAGGCGGCACAAAGGCGAGCAGGCGGCGCCAGUCGAGGAGGAAGGAGGUCGGGGGCAGCGGCGCUCAGGCCGGGGGUACCGCUGGAGGCGGCGAUGUGGCUCAAUAGGGAGAGCAUGUGGCGACUUGAGGAAGUUGACGCGGCGGACGUGGAAGGCCGGCGGGGAUUGGGGAUUGAAAAUACCAUCUCUUGAGGAAGAGAGUAAGCGAGAAAGAGGGAGAUGGACGGAGCAGGGUCAGAGCUGCUGGUCUCCGGCGCGCUCGGGCUCUCGGCGCUGCAGCUUGUGUGGAGGCGCUCUGGAGCUGCUUGGAUCGGGAGAUCCUGAAGAACAGAGGUUUGCAGAGGUGGAAGGAGGAGGCGCUCGGGAGGCUCGGGAGAUUUGGGCUGCGGGGAGAGGCGUUGAAGCGGCGACGACCAUUGAGGAGUGGGAGUGCUGUGCAUGGUCCCUCGCUGGACAGAGAGGGAGUGAGAAGAAGGCAUUGGGGAGAGACAGGGAUGAUUAGGGACGGGGCUGAGAAGAUAAGGUUGGAGGAAUAGACAGCGGUGGGUGCGGCCAAACGAUACGCGUCACGGGCGUGAUACCGUUGAUGAAAUCAUUGUCGUCUGCAGCUGAUAUGCAUGCACGCGUCCCUCCUGAGCUUUUCUCGCCGUGCAUGCAUUUGUUUGCUUAUGCGAAUUUACAGGCACACAGUUGCCGGGUUUGGUUCAACUUUUUUUUUAUAAGUUGGAUUUGCAUCUGUUUGUGUUAUCAUUUGUCUGCUUUCUAAAUUGCUUGAAAGAAAGACAUAAUACUCAACAUGAAAACAACACAUAUAUUCUGAUGCUUAUCUCUAGCAUAAUUAAACUUAUUUAUAAGUAGCUACAUAUGAUCUAUUUAUGAUGCAAAUAUAUAUCAGCUUUUUAAUCAACAACAUAUUCAUAUAAUAUACAAAACUCUCAUGCAUGCAAGCAAUUUAGAUGGCAAUCUCAUGGAUGCCAAGGAACAGAGAAGGAAAAAAGAUAAAAAGCGGUAUGUACCAAUGACCAAUAAAGAAAAGCUGAAAAAACGUCUAAAGGCUAUCAACUUAGCAAAAGAAUAAAAGAUUCGACCCAGUUGCAAAAAAUGUUAGAAGAAAUAUGCAAACAUGGAGCCAACACAGAAGAUAAAAAACAUGUGCAUGAGAAAGGAAGAAAUACGCAAAUAUGCAAGCAGGGAAAAAAGUUAGAAUAGAGCAAAUUACAGCUAGCCGUGAAUUUAGGCGCAACACACUAACAAAGAUUCAAUUGCCAUGAAGAAUCCUGCUUAUAUCGUGACAGAACACGAACUUAGUACAUCUAUACGAGAAGGACUUCGCAGUUAGCGCACACACACCAUGGUUGGGCGCUGUGCGAAGUGUACAACAUUUUUAUUGUGUAAUAUCAGUAACUCAACAUAAGUGUUGCGUGUAUGGAUUUUUUAGAUAUGCGGUGUCACUAUAUAUUGGCAGUCUAAUCUAUAAUGUCAUCUUGAAAUUGGGCGAAAAACAUCAUAUACGCUCUUACUUUAAAAAUAUUUGAAUUAGUAAUUGAACUCUUGAAAAAUGUGCUUCAAAGUCGAGAAAAAUGCACUCAGUGGAAGUCGUUGGGGCACACUCUCUAUCUCCAACCACUGCCCUAUAUAUAUAUAUAUAUAUAUGCCACGAAGCUCAAGCAAUAAAACAAUCAAACUAUUCCACCAAUCCCUCCCUCCCUUCUAACAAGUUUCACAGGUCAUCAACAAUAGUACUUGACGACAAUAACACUUGCAGACACAGUACGAGUCACACUGACGAUGGAUAGCAAUCACUAGUGCACAAGUAACAGGUGAACAAAAGAGCUAACACUAACUGUACGAUCUCCAGCAGCCAAACGAGAAAUCUGACAAAUACGAAAUCCCUCAUGAAUGCGCAAAAUGGUUCCAUAGCUGUUCGCUCAUCGAUCAUAUACACAUGC